AAUGAACGCUGGCGGCAUGCCUAACACAUGCAAGUCGAACGAAGCCUUCGGGCUUAGUGGCGCACGGGUGCGUAACGCGUGGGAAUCUGCCCUUGGGUUCGGAAUAACAGUGGGAAACUACUGCUAAUACCGAAUGAUGUCGCAAGACCAAAGAUUUAUCGCCCAGGGAUGAGCCCGCGUAGGAUUAGCUAGUUGGUGUGGUAAAAGCGCACCGAGGCGACGACCUUAGCUGGUCUGAGAGGAUGAUCAGCCACACUGGGACUGAGACACGGCCCAGACUCCUACGGGAGGCAGCAGUGGGGAAUAUUGGACAAUGGGCGAAAGCCUGAUCCAGCAAUGCCGCGUGAGUGAUGAAGGCCUUAGGGUUGUAAAGCUCUUUUACCCGGGAUGAUAAUGACAGUACCGGGAGAAUAAGCUCCGGCUAACUCCGUGCCAGCCGCCGCCGUAAU
rnacentral:rRNA from 1 species